rnacentral:rRNA from 1 species
AUUGAACGCUGGCGGAAUGCUUUACACAUGCAAGUCGAACGAUGAACCUUAGCUUGCUAAGGGGAUUAGUGGCGAACGGGUGAGUAAUAUAUCGGAACGUGCCUUGUAAUGGGGGAUAACUAGUCGAAAGAUUAGCUAAUACCGCAUACGCCCUGAGGGGGAAAGUAGGGGAUCUUCGGACCUUACGUCAUAAGAGCGGCCGAUAUCUGAUUAGCUAGUUGGUGGGGUAAUGGCCUACCAAGGCGACGAUCAGUAGCUGGUCUGAGAGGACGACCAGCCACACUGGAACUGAGACACGGUCCAGACUCCUACGGGAGGCAGCAGUGGGGAAUUUUGGACAAUGGGCGCAAGCCUGAUCCAGCCAUUCCGCGUGAGUGAAGAAGGCCUUCGGGUUGUAAAGCUCUUUCGCAAGGGAAGAAAACUUACCAUCGAAUAAAUGGUGAGGCUGACGGUACCUUGAUAAGAAGCACCGGCUAACUACGUG